rnacentral:rRNA from 1 species
UACGAAGGGGACUAGCGUUGUUCGGAAUCACUGGGCGUAAAGCGCACGUAGGCGGAUUUGUAAGUCAGGGGUGAAAUCCCGGGGCUCAACCUCGGAACUGCCUUUGAUACUGCGAAUCUUGAGUCCGAUAGAGGUGGGUGGAAUUCCUAGUGUAGAGGUGAAAUUCGUAGAUAUUAGGAAGAACACCGGUGGCGAAGGCGGCCCACUGGAUCGGUACUGACGCUGAGGUGCGAAAGCGUGGGGAGCAAAACAGG